rnacentral:rRNA from 1 species
GAUGAACGCUGGCGGCGUGCCUAAUACAUGCCAGUAGAACGCUGAAGGAGGAGCUUGCUCUUCUGGAUGAGUUGCGAGCGGGUGAGUAACGCGUAGGUAACCUGCCUGGUAGCGGGGGAUAACUAUUGGAAACGAUAGCUAAUACCGCAUGACAACAGUUAUUGCAUGAUAACUGUUUAAAAGGGGCAACUGCUCCACUACCAGAUGGACCUGCGUUGUAUUAGCUAGUUGGUGAGGUAACGGCUCACCAAGGCGACGAUACAUAGCCGACCUGAGAGGGGGAGCGGCCAAACUGGGACGGAGACACGGCCCAGACUCCCACGGGAGGCAGCAGGAGGGAAACGUCGGCAAGGGACGGAAGUCUGACCGAGAAACGCCGCGGGAGGGAAGAAGGAUGUCGGAUCGUAAAGCUCUGUUGUAAGAGAAGAACGAGUGUGAGAGUGGAAAGUUCACACUGUGACGGUAUCUGAUCAGAAAGGGACGGCUAACUACGUG